GCCAGGCAUGAUGGCACAUGCCUGUAAUCCCAGCUACUUGGGAGGCUGAGGCAGGAGAAUUGCUUGAACCCAGGAGAUGGAGGUUGCAGUGAGCCAACAUCACAACACUGCACUACAGCCUGGGUAACAGAGCAAGAUUCUGUCUCAA
rfam:Pan troglodytes isolate Yerkes chimp pedigree #C0471 (Clint) chromosome 20, whole genome shotgun sequence.